CUCCUCCUCCUUGUCUCCUCCUCAUCUCGGCCUCAGUGACAGGUGAGGAGGCGGGGUCAGGUGAGAGGGUCAGGUGUGGGGGGCGGGGUCAGGUGAGAGGGUCAGGUGCGGGGUCAGUUGAGAGGGGCGGGGUCAGGUGAGAGGGUCAGGUGCAGGGGGCGGGGUCAGGUGAGAGGGGUGGGGUCAGUAGAGCUUCAGUGAUUGGUGGAACAGCUCCUCGAGGU